rnacentral:rRNA from 1 species
AGAGUUUGAUCCUGGCUCAGGAUGAACGCUGGCGGCGUGCUUAACACAUGCAAGUCGAACGAGGUUUGGUCAGUUUGCGGUGGUGCUUGCAUCACCAAUUACCGAUCAAACCGAGUGGCGGACGGGUGAGUAACACGUGGGUAACCUGCCCUUCAGCAGGGGAUAACAUUUGGAAACAGAUGCUAAUACCGUAUAACCACGGAGACCGCAUGGUCUCCGGGUAAAAGAUGGCGCAAGCUAUCACUGAAGGAUGGACCCGCGGCGUAUUAGCCAGUUGGUGGGGUAACGGCCUACCAAAGCGAUGAUACGUAGCCGACCUGAGAGGGUAAUCGGCCACAUUGGGACUGAGACACGGCCCAAACUCCUACGGGAGGCAGCAGUAGGGAAUCUUCCACAAUGGACGCAAGUCUGAUGGAGCAACGCCGCGUGAGUGAAGAAGGCUUUCGGGUCGUAAAACUCUGUUAUUGAAGAAGAACGUGUGUGACAGUAACUGGUCAUGCAGUGACGGUACUCAAUCAGAAAGUCACGGCUAACUACGUGCCAGCAGCCGCGGUAAUACGUAGGUGGCAAGCGUUGUCCGGAUUUAUUGGGCGUAAAGCGAGUGCAGGCGGUCUUUUAAGUCUGAUGUGAAAGCCUUCGGCUUAACCGAAGAAGGGCAUCGGAAACUGGGAGACUUGAGUGCAGAAGAGGAGAGUGGAACUCCAUGUGUAGCGGUGAAAGUGCGUAGAUAUAUGGAAGAACACCAGUGGCGAAGGCGGCUCUCUGGUCUGUAACUGA